GAUGAACGCUGGCGGCGUGCCUAACACAUGCAAGUCGAGCGAUUCUCUUCGGAGAAGAGCGGCGGACGGGUGAGUAACGCGUGGGUAACCUGCCCUGUACACACGGAUAACAUACCGAAAGGUAUGCUAAUACGAGAUAAUAUGCUUUUAUCGCAUGGUAGAAGUAUCAAAGCUCCGGCGGUACAGGAUGGACCCGCGUCUGAUUAGCUAGUUGGUAAGGUAACGGCUUACCAAGGCGACGAUCAGUAGCCGACCUGAGAGGGUGAUCGGCCACAUUGGAACUGAGACACGGUCCAAACUCCUACGGAGGCAGCAGUGGGGAAGUAUUGCACAAUGGGCGGAAAGACCUGAUGCAGCAACGCCGCGUGAGCGAUGAAGG
rnacentral:rRNA from 1 species